CUGAAACUCUCUUCAGUCAAACUUUUCUCUUUACCCCAAAGCAUGUGCAGCAUUGGCACAGCAAAGCCAAUUGGCUUCCCCAAAUCCUUGCCACUCAGCAGUGCAUCUCACCUCUGACCUAGAGGAAAGCACAUCAAGGAGUAAUAGCAGGGCUCAGUCUCCAUGGCCCAUUCAGUCCUUGGGCUCU
ensembl:misc_RNA